GUACUUCCCUAUGCUUCUAAGAGAAAACACCUGAGCAGAGUUCCAAUGAUUCUCCCUUUGCCUGUCUGAAAUUUGGAAAUACAAUUGGCAAGUAUGUUCAUGCAGGUUCUCUUGUUCCUGAGCAUCUCCUGUACAGAAGGGUAUUUACCCACCAGCGGUAAGUAUUGUCAGGUAAAACAUAAUCCCAUAGACAAUGUCGCCUUCUAUGGAGGACCUCUUGGUUAUGCGAGGCCUGCAGAGACCUGGCCAUCGACUCUAGGCCUAAGUUUGUUUUGGCUUUUUGUCAGAGAAAGGUAUGUGCGUGAGUGCGAGUGUGCGUUUAUUUUCAAUUUAAAGUUUCAUUCAUUUUGUAUUGUGGAAAGCUAAUAUUUUCAUCUGUCCAUGGCAGGAUUUAUACUGUACUGCAAAAACAAACAAAAAAAUCAAAAUGUUUAGAAUAUUUGUUUGAGUCUUUUUAAAAUGUGAUUUUAGUUAAAUAUAAAAAAAACGAUUGAUGUGGAAGACAGACAUAAAAAAAAAAUAAUCUCAAAUAUUGAUUAUUUGAAGCCAUAAAUCAUUUAUAUUAGCUGAUAAAUUCACGGGUAUUUUGGAAGCUUACCUAUCACACAAAAGCAAAUGGAGAGAAAAUAGUAUAAAAGAAGAUAAACAGAAAACAUAGACAGAAUAUAAAAAUGAAAUUAAAAGAACAGCGUGAAAAGGGAUGAAAAAAAAUAUAUUUGAAUGGUCUUCGGUUAAAGCGGAACAAGUGAGACAAAGUGUAGAAAGAAGAACUUAAAAAAAAUAUAAUAUAAUAAAAGAAAAAUAAUAUUGUAUGAGGUGUAAUGAAAAGAAUGGGUAUACAGGGAAAUGCCAUGCGAUUACUUUGGGAAAGUUGCCCCUCGGACUUGAGCUGGCGGUCGCUGGAGGCCAUGAUACCAACCACGAGGUCAAGUUCAUUCCACCUAAUAACCAAAUGGUUCUUCACCGGGAAUCUGAUUUGCAGAUUCACAACUGUAAUCAUAAAUCUAUAUGGAGUGCGAACAAUUUCUUAUUCCGGACGAGUUUAGUUCUACGAAGAUCUUAGUUCUGCUCAGACGGAUCUCUUUGUAUGUCCAAAAUGUCAGUUUUGACUAAAGUGCUGUUUUAAGACUGAAGUGCCCUGAUGCUUUGCAUUGGAAUGCAGAAUUGCUACUCUCCCCUGCUUGGUAAGUAUGCUUCUCCUAUUAUGUUUCUUGUAAUCUCCACAUAAAAGUCUCUUGAUCUUGACAGAUGUAAUGACGUGUUUGACAAUCUAGUAGUUUAAAUAAUGGCUGCUUAGUGACAAUGUUAAAGUAUAAUGUUCCCAGUGUAAACGGUCCUGUACAGUAUUUCAUGUAUAUCAUCCAACUACUUUAUUAUAGCUCUGUCAGGUCAUUAAUACAUCCACUCUAUGGUGGCAAAUUUUACACUCCAAACUUUUACAAGCUUUCGAGUAAAAUUUCCUGCAGGGUAGUUCCAAAGGUGUCCUCACUUCUCUGGGGAACCUAUGUCUAUGAAGAGAAGAUUCCCAGCAAGACAGAACUAUUCAACAGGUGAGCGAUUUUCUAGUUCUGGACAACGUGCCUGUGCAAAAAAUGGUUGAAAUACGACUUAAAAGGAGUUUUUUUUUUAACUCAACAUAUUACACCAGAUCAGGUCAGGACCACAUGGGUAACCGAGAUGUUUAUAGAAUGCACCACACACAAAUGUAGGUUGAAUGAAUUGCUGACGCUUUAUUUAAAAAACGUUUUUAAUACUAUGACCUCACUUUGAAUUUAAUAUUUAUAGCACUAGCACUUUACUUAAUUGAUUUACAGAAACAAUGGAUUUUUGAGAUUAUUUAUCAAUUGUGCGCAGAUACAAAAUGAAUUGGAAGUCACAGUACGUGAUUUAUAGCACAAGCACUUUAGUCAAUAAAUGUUUUAUACACAGUAACAAUUAAUUGAGACAUUAUGUACUAACUAUGUGCUGGCACGGAAUUGAUUUGAGCACGUGAUUAUAACAGCACUAAGCACUUAUAUUUAGAUUUUAAUCAAUUCUGGCAAGGAAGUGUGGGGUUUUUACUGCUAUUUCUUAUUCUAAAUAAACUUGUUGGGUUUAUAUACCUCUACACAGCCUUGAAUUAGGGAGUAAAAGUGUGUGAAUUCUAAUUACAAGAGAAUUGUUUAUCAAUUGUGACAAAUGUAGGUUUACCAACAUACACCUCUAAACACAGACACUUUAAAAAUGUUUAGCUGCAUUGGACCCUGUGCAGUCUUGCAUUCGUCAGAUUUCAUAUAUACUUUAUUAAAGGUGGUUGCUGGCUGCCCUGUUACCAUCAUGAAACUGAAUAGUGUUUCACCAGUGUAGACUGUUUCAUGACUUAUUGGGCUGCAGUCAUAAGGGUCCCACCCAUAAGCACUAAUUUUUUUAUGUAUGCCCCUGUGGUUUCAGAGCAUUGACCCCAUUCUGUAAAAAAUAUUCCCCCUCCCUUUUUGUCAUUCCGUUGGGUUUAUGUAGAAGACUGAAAGGAAAACAUGAUACUCAUGAUUCCCAACAUCCUAUAGGCUGGUGGAUUCUGGGAUUCAAGUCCCGCUGCUUGCUAUGUUUGGUGGAGCACAGAUUUUUUUUUUUGAAAAGCAAAAGUAUCUAAAGUCCCAGAAUCCACCACAUCACAAUUGUACACGGUGAAGGAAUGGUUGCAUAAAAGUGUGAGUCUAAUGGAGUUACAGAACUGGUUUCAGCAGACUAUCAUCGCCACCUUUUAAUCUAUUUAUUUUUGGAAAUUCAGGCAGUGUUCAAAAUUUCAGACAGUGAGACAUAGCUAAAAAUAGAAACUACACAAACUUUUUCCUACGUCACUAGGGCCUUGAUGCAUGUUCGUUUUGGCAGGUUUAAUGUUGUGUAUUUAGGAAUGAUUAUCACUGACGUUUUUAAAAAUAACAGAUCUGUUUUUGUUACAUUGCAGAGGAAUUCCAAGAGUAGAUGCAGGUUUAAUGUUGUAUACUUAGGAGUCAUUGUCACGGAUAUUCUUAAAAAUAACUCUGCAGGCCGAGAAUAUGCUUUUCCCUGCUGCUGCUCUGCCUACACCCAGAAACAUUACCUCCAAUUGGAUGUAGGCAGACAGUGGAUUUUGGAGUAGAAAUACCCGACUGCAUGUCAUGCCAAAAUCCGCCAAGUCUCCAUGCACCUGAUGCGAGGCUUUCUUCUAAUUUAUUGAUCCCAUUUCCCCUGUAGUUUUCUAAUCCCUGACUGCUAUGCCUGAAAUGUUCCAUUACCUGCCACUUUUGGCUUUCCAACCUUGGAAUUUCAGACCUCACAAAUAAGAUAUGGGUAUAUAUAUAUAUUUUUUUUCUUUUAGAAGAUGUUAGUUUCAGAGAAGAUGCAAAAGCUUACGUGUUUGUCGGAAAGAGGAAAACUAAGCAGAUCUAAUCAGAUGGAUAAAGCCUCCAGUGUUCAUAAGAGAGUCAUCCGUUCCAAAGUUGUAAGAAGAAUGGACACUCCAGCAAUGGACCUGUAGUAUUCUAUCGAAGAGGAGAAUUUCCAGACAGAGACCCAAAUAAGCAUGAAGACCUUUCUGGCCCCAACAGUACCCAAGCAAAUAUGAAGAACAGCCACGAGACAAUGGUUUCAUUGCUUUUUCCUUGGUGCAGUAUAAUCAGACAAUCGAUUUCCUACAAGAUGCAGCUGGAUAGAACUAAAGAUAAAUAUAAAACGUUAUGAUACUCAGCAACAUAUCAUACACAAACAAUAAACAUUUGAAAGUCAA